rnacentral:rRNA from 1 species
GGGCCCGCACAAGCGGUGGAGCAUGUGGUUUAAUUCGAUGCAACGCGAAGAACCUUACCAGGUCUUGACAUCUGUAGAACGCUGUGGAAACACGGUGGUGCCAUUUGGAGCUACAAGACAGGUGGUGCAUGGUUGUCGUCAGCUCGUGUCGUGAGAUGUUGGGUUAAGUCCCGCAACGAGCGCAACCCUUGCUAUUAGUUGCUAACAGGUAGAGCUGAGCACUCUAAUGGGACUGCCUGUGACAAGCAGGAGGAAGGUGGGGAUGACGUCAAAUCAUCAUGCCCUUUAUGAUCUGGGCUACACACGUGCUACAAUGGGUGGUACAGAGAGAAGCGAAGCUGUGAAGUGGAGCGAAUCUCAAAAAGCCAUUCUCAGUUCGGAUUGUAGUCUGCAACUCGACUACAUGAAGUCGGAAUCGCUAGUAAUCGCGAAUCAGCAUGUCGCGGUGAAUGCGUUCCCGGGCCUU